CAGUCAGUCAGAAGAACUCUCUCAGACGGACAUCACGUUAUUAAAGUAAGUUCUAUUAUUUAUUUAUGUUCACUUUAUACGUGAUAUAUCUUCACUAGAUAGACAGUUUUUUUACAAUAUGUAGCCAUUGCAAUGACUUGUAGUAAAAAUGAGUUUGGAGGAUGUUGGUGGAAUAAGUUAACGUUACAGUCAGUCAGUCAGUCAGUCAGUCAGUCAGUAAGUGUAAGGCUCAUAAAGAAAAACAGCGUUUUAAAAAUGUCAGCUGUAUAACGUUAUUUCACGUUUGGUAGUUUUAUCCGAGUUGAAAACUGUCAGAUUUGAGUUGACUUUUGAGGCACUUUUUACUCAGUUGUUCUAUGGAAACGGUUCAGGACAAAUAAAACGCUAACCAAACGUUAUUCUGUCCAGAGUAACGUUAUCCAUGUAAGUAAUUUACCAGAUGAUAUCAAUUGACUACAUUAAUAAUGACAUUGCGUAUGAAACAAACUGUCUGCUUAAUCAGAUGAACAGACCCGCGUCAGUUAUUCGUGACUUCACUACGCCACGAGCAACACUUGAUUCUAUUAGAAAAAGCUUUUUUAAAUGCCUCGCGUGACGUCUGGUAUAUUAACUGAAAAAAUUGCUUUGAAGUGCCACACCUUAAAGCUGACGUUUUCAGAAGAGCACCUUGUUUUAAGAUCUCAUUUUGUCCAAAAUUGCGUCCUAUGACAGAUAUAAUACUUAUUUCAUUAUUGCUCUGUGUAUGUGUGACCUUCAUCAUUUGAGGUUGUGUGUUGAUUUCACCUCUGAAUAUUUCCUCUUAUAGGUCCAUCAUCCUUGCAUGCGCUACACACUCAAAAGCAUUGAUAAAUGCUGAAUUUAAAAGAAUCACUACUGUCUUAUGUUCCUGCGUGUCACCUGGACCUCCAAUCCAAAAACCUGACGAAACUCUUCUAUCAGAAAGGAGGACAGCUAGCAAAAAGACUUCAAACAAUGAAUGAUCAAAUGACAGAAGGCAUGGAUGAAGUCAGCAUCAGUGAGGUCAUUUGAAGACACCACUGUUGGGAUUUGUGCUCUCAAACAACAUGCUUCUUGUGAUGAAGAAGAGGAUCUUUGUAUAGUCCUGGAAGGCAUGAAGGUGUUGCAACAUCGUGCCAUGUUGUUUGAGCUGAUGUAUGCCUUAAACCUGAGCUAUCCUGAUCUCUGCUUUA